rnacentral:rRNA from 1 species
GUGAAGCGGCAACAGCUCAAAUUUGAAAUCUGGCGCCUUCGGUGCCCGAGUUGUAAUUUGUAGAGGGUAGCUCGAGCCCGCCCCCGUCUAAGUCCCCUGGAACGGGGCGUCGUAGAGGGUGAGAAUCCCGUAUGCGACGGGGUGGCGUGCUCGUGUGAGCUCCCUUCGACGAGUCGAGUUGUUUGGGAAUGCAGCUCUAAAUGGGAGGUAAAUUCCUUCUAAAGCUAAAUACCGGCCAGAGACCGAUAGCGCACAAGUAGAGUGAUCGAAAGAUGAAAAGCACUUUGGAAAGAGAGUUAAAAAGCACGUGAAAUUGUUGAAAGGGAAGCGCUCACGACCAGACUCGGGUGCGGCUGCUCAGCCGGUCUUCUGACCGGUGCAUCGGUUGUACCCGGGCCAGCAUCGGUUCGGGCGGUCGGAUAAAGGCCUCGGGAACGUAGCUCCUCUCGGGGAGUGUUAUAGCCCGGGGCGCAAUGCGGCCUGCCCGGACCGAGGAACGCGUUCGCUAGGAUGCUGGCGUAAUGGUCGUUAGCGGCCCGUCUUGAAACACGGACCAAGGAGUCUACCAUCUGUGCGAGUAUUAGGGUGUCAAACCCUUGUGCGUAAUGAAAGUGAACGGAGGUGGGAACCCUUUGGGUGCACCAUCGACCGAUCCAGAUGUCCUCGGACGGAUUUGAGUAAGAGCACCGCUGGUGGGACCCGAAAGAUGGUGAACUAUGCGCGGAUAGGGUGAAGCCAGAGGAAACUCUGGUGGAGGCUCGCAGCGGUUCUGACGUGCAAAUCGAUCGUCAAAUCUACGCAUAGGGGCGAAAGACUAAUCGAACCAU